rnacentral:lncRNA from 1 species
AUGCCGCAGGAUACUGGUCCACUAGUGCCUUUGCACUGGUUUGGGUUUUGGCUACGCAGCACUGGUUGCCUCUGGAGGGAUCACUGACUAUGCAAAAGCAGGUAGAAUGCUAUUCCUCUCUGGGGGUUUAACAGGCCUGGGUGCUUAUCAGCUCUCAGGAUCCAAGGGAUGCUUGGGUUUUCCUUGCUACGUCUGAGACCUUGGCUGGCAUUAUGGGAAUGAGAUUCUACCACUCUGGAAAAUUUAUGUCUCCAGGUUUAAUUGCAGGUACCAGUUUGCUGAUGGUCGCCAAGCUUGGAAUCAGUACGUUGA